rnacentral:rRNA from 1 species
AGAGUUUGAUCAUGGCUCAGGACGAACGCUGGCGGCGUGCCUAACACAUGCAAGUCGAGCGGAGACAGUGAGUAGCUUGCUAUGAGCUGUUUUAGCGGCGGACGGGUGAGUAACGCGUGAGCAACCUUUCCCAGACAGGGGAAUAACACACCGAAAGGUGUACUAAUACCGCAUAAGACCACGGGAUCACAUGGUUCUAGGGGUAAAAGAUUUAGUCGGUUUGGGGUGGCUCGCGUCCGAUUAGGUAGUUGGUGAGGUAACCCGG